UCCUAUAAAAUUCUUUUUGAUUUUACAGGAGAAUCAGUGGUUUUGGAGUGACAGUACUCAUUUCCACUUUAACAACUGGUGUUCUGGAGAGCCUAAUAACUUACAUGGAAAGCAGCAUUGCCUUUGCAUCAACCAUGGAUAUCAGAAGUGCUGGGAUGACUUACAGUGCUCCUACCCUAAACCAUCUGUCUGUGCCAGGAAAGGCUACUGAACAGUCUUUAAUUCUAUCCUUUACUCUAUCGCUGUUAAACAACUUAUGAAAACAAAAGAGUUGCAACAUUUACUGAUAUACCAUUAAU